rnacentral:rRNA from 1 species
GACAUGUACGGAAUCCUUUAGAGAUAGAGGAGUGCUCGAAAGAGAGCCGUAACACAGGUGCUGCAUGGCUGUCGUCAGCUCGUGUCGUGAGAUGUUGGGUUAAGUCCCGCAACGAGCGCAACCCUUGUCAUUAGUUGCUACAUUCAGUUGGGCACUCUAAUGAGACUGCCGGUGACAAACCGGAGGAAGGUGGGGAUGACGUCAAGUCCUCAUGGCCCUUAUGGGUAGGGCUUCACACGUCAUACAAUGGUCGGUACAGAGGGUUGCCAACCCGCGAGGGGGAGCUAAUCCCACAAAGCCGAUCGUAGUCCGGAUCGCAGUCUGCAACUCGACUGCGUGAAGUCGGAAUCGCUAGUAAUCGUGGAUCAGCAUGUCACGGUGAAUACGUUCCCGGGUCUU